UACGUAGGUGGCAAGCGUUGUCCGGAUUUACUGGGCGUAAAGGGCGCGUAGGCGGCACCGCAAGUCGACUGUGAAAUCUCCGGGCUUAACUCGGAAAGGUCAGCCGAUACUGCGGGGCUAGAGUGCAGAAGGGGCAACUGGAAUUCUCGGUGUAGCGGUGAAAUGCGUAGAUAUCGAGAGGAACACCUGCGGCGAAGGCGGGUUGCUGGGCUGACACUGACGCUGAUGCGCGAAAGCUAGGGGAGCGAACGGG
rnacentral:rRNA from 1 species